GUGCUCACUUUGGCAGCACAUAUGCUAAAAUUGGAAUGUUAAAGAGAAGACCAGCGUGGUCCCUGUAAAAGGAUGAUAUGCAAAUUAAUGAAGUGCUCCAUAUUUUA
rnacentral:snRNA from 1 species